GGUUCCAUAGUGUAGUGGUUAGCACGCCUGCCUCCAGAGCAAGCAGUCCUGGGUUUGAUUCCCAGAGGAACUA